UGACCUCAAAUCAGGUAGGAUUACCCGCUGAACUUAAGCAUAUCAAUAAGCGGAGGAAAAGAAACUAACAAGGAUUCCCCUAGUAACUGCGAGUGAAGCGGGAAAAGCUCAAAUUUGUAAUCUGGCGGUCUUGGGCCGUCCGAAUUGUAAACUAGAGAAGCGUUAUCCGCGCUGGACCGUGUACAAGUCCCCUGGAAUGGGGCGUCAUAGAGGGUGAGAAUCCCGUCUUUGACACGGACUACCAGGGCUUUGUGAUGCGCUCUCAAAGAGUCGAGUUGUUUGGGAAUGCAGCUCAAAAUGGGUGGUAAAUUCCAUCUAAAGCUAAAUAUUGGCGAGAGACCGAUAGCGAACAAGUACCGUGAGGGAAAGAUGAAAAGAACUUUGGAAAGAGAGUUAAACAGUACGUGAAAUUGCUGAAAGGGAAACGCUUGAAGUCAGUCGCGUUGGCUAGGGAUCAGCCUUACUCUGGUGGGGUGUACUUCCUUGUCGACGGGUCAGCAUCAGUUUUGGUUGCUGGAUAAAGGCUAAGGGAAUGUGGCACCUUCGGGUGUGUUAUAGCCCUUGGUCAGAUACAGUGGCUGGGACUGAGGAACUCAGCACGCGCAAGCUGUGCUUAGGAUG
rnacentral:rRNA from 1 species